rnacentral:misc_RNA from 1 species
CGCCGCUCGGUCCGCCGAAAUCUUUUCGGACGGACCGGUGUUGGGGCCGCGCGGGGUGGCUAGUCCGCCCCGUGGCCCUCAAAUUCAGUGGCGGCUCCUCGCGGAACCCUCAGCGCAGUAAACUUCUGCCGCUUCGGGCACCGAGAGGUGGCUUGCCGUAAAACCCCACAAAAGCCCCGUGCUUUUGGGAACUUCACCC